CAGUCGAACGGAGUUAUCAUUUCAGAAGCAAUUAGCUUGCUGAGAGUGCACGUGAGGAUAACUUAGUGGCGGACGGGUGAGUAACGCGUGGGGAACCUGCCCUGCACCGGGGGAUAACACCUGGAAACAGGUGCUAAUACCGCAUAAGCGCACGAGGCCGCAUGGCCAGGUGUGAAAAACUAAGGUGGUGCAGGAUGGACCCGCGUCUGAUUAGCUUGUUGGUAGGGUAACGGCCUACCAAGGCGACGAUCAGUAGCCGGCCUGAGAGGGUGAACGGCCACAUUGGGACUGAGACACGGCCCAAACUCCUACGGGAGGCAGCAGUGGGGAAUAUUGGACAAUGGGGGAAACCCUGAUCCAGCGACGCCGCGUGAGUGAAGAAGUAUUUCGGUAUGUAAAGCUCUAUCAGCAGGGAAGAAAAUGACGGUACCUGACUAAGAAGCCCCGGCUAACUACGUGCCAGCAGCCGCGGUAAUACGUAGGGGGCAAGCGUUAUCCGGAUUUACUGGGUGUAAAGGGAGCGUAGACGGCAUAGCAAGUCUGAUGUGAAAGAUCGGGGCUCAACCCCGGGCCUGCAUUGGAAACUGUUAAGCUGGAGUACAGGAGAGGUAAGCGGAAUUCCUAGUGUAGCGGUGAAAUGCGUAGAUAUUAGGAGGAACACCAGUGGCGAAGGCGGCUUACUGGACUGUAGCUGACGUUGAGGCUCGAAAGCGUGGGGAGCAAACAGGAUUAGAUACCCUGGUAGUCCACGCCGUAAACGAUGAUUACUAGGUGUCGGUGGGCAUGGGCCCAUCGGUGCCGCAGCCAACGCAGUAAGUAAUCCACCUGGGGAGUACGUUCGCAAGAAUGAAACUCAAA
rnacentral:rRNA from 1 species